rnacentral:rRNA from 1 species
UACGUAGGGUGCGAGCGUUAAUCGGAAUUACUGGGCGUAAAGGGUGCGCAGGCGGUUCUGCAAGUCAGGCGUGAAAGCCCCGGGCUUAACCUGGGAAUGGCGCUUGAAACUACGGGACUGGAGUAUGGCAGAGGGAGGUGGAAUUCCACGUGUAGCGGUGAAAUGCGUAGAGAUGUGGAGGAACACCGAUGGCGAAGGCAGCCUCCUGGGCCAAUACUGACGCUCAUGCACGAAAGCGUGGGGAGCAAACAGG